rnacentral:rRNA from 2 species
GUUGGGCUGUUCGCCCAUUAAAGCGGUACGCGAGCUGGGUUCAGAACGUCGUGAGACAGUUCGGUCCCUAUCCGUCGUGGGCGUAGGAAAUUUGAGAGGAGCUGUCCUUAGUACGAGAGGACCGGGAUGGACAUACCUCUGGUGUACCAGUUGUCGUGCCAACGGCAUAGCUGGGUAGCUAUGUGUGGACGGGAUAAGUGCUGAAAGCAUCUAAGCAUGAAGCCCCCCUCAAGAUGAGAUUUCCCAACUUCGGUUAUAAGAUCCCUCAAAGAUGAUGAGGUUAAUAGGUUCGAGGUGGAAGCAUGGUGACAUGUGGAGCUGACGAAUACUAAUCGAUCGAAGACUUAAUCAAAA